GUACUACUCAAUUUGGCAGUAUAUAUACUAAAAUUGGCAUGAUACAGAGAAGAUUAGCAUGGCCCCUGCUCAAGGAUGAUAUGCAAAUUGACAUGCAAAUUCAUGAAGUGUU